UACGUAGGGUGCAAGCGUUGUCCGGAAUUAUUGGGCGUAAAGAGCUCGUAGGCGGUUUGUCGCGUCGGCUGUGAAAACCUGGGGCUCAACCCCGGGCCUGCAGCCGAUACGGGCAAACUAGAAUUCGGUAGGGGAGACUGGAAUUCCUGGUGUAGCAGUGAAAUGCGCAGAUAUCAGGAGGAACACCGGUGGCGAAGGCGGGUCUCUGGGUAGUAACUGACGCUGAGGAACGAAAGCGUGGGGAGCAAACAGG
rnacentral:rRNA from 1 species